rnacentral:rRNA from 1 species
GACGUAGGAGGCGAGCGUUGUCCGGAUUUACUGGGCGUAAAGCGCGCGCAGGCGGUCCCCCAGGUCAUCUGUCAAAGCACCCGGCUCAACCGGGUUGUCGCGGGUGAAACCGGGGGACUUGAGGGCGGUAGAGGGUGGUGGAAUUCCCGGUGUAGUGGUGAAAUGCGUAGAGAUCGGGAGGAACACCCGUAGCGAAGGCGGCCACCUGGGCCGACCCUGACGCUGAGGCGCGAAGGCCAGGGGAGCGAACGGG